rnacentral:rRNA from 1 species
GUUAACUCUGUGCCAGCAGCCGCGGUAAUACAGAGGGUGCAAGCGUUAAUCGGAGUUACUGGGCGUAAAGGGCGCGUAGGUGGUUGCGUAAGUGAGAUGUGAAAUCCCUGGGCUUAACCUAGGAACUGCAUCUUAUACUGCGUAGCUUGAGUACUGUAGAGGGUAGUGGAAUUUCCGGUGUAGCGGUGAAAUGCGUAGAGAUCGGAAGGAACACCAGUGGCGAAGGCGGCUACCUGGACAGAUACUGACACUGAGGCGCGAGAGCGUGGGGAGCAAACAGGAUUAGAUACCCCGGUAGUC